GACAAACGCUGGCGGCGUGCCUAAUACAUGCAAGUUGAGCGCUGAAGGUUGGUACUUGUACCUACUGGAUGAGCAGCGAACGGGUGAGUAACGCGUGGGGAAUCUGCCUUUGAGCGGGGGACAACAUUUGGAAACGAAUGCUAAUACCGCAUAAAAACUUUAAACACAAGUUUUAAGUUUGAAAGAUGCAAUUGCAUCACUCAAAGAUGAUCCCGCGUUGUAUUAGCUAGUUGGUGAGGUAAAGGCUCACCAAGGCGAUGAUACAUAGCCGACCUGAGAGGGUGAUCGGCCACAUUGGGACUGAGACACGGCCCAAACUCCUACGGGAGGCAGCAGUAGGGAAUCUUCGGCAAUGGACGAAAGUCUGACCGAGCAACGCCGCGUGAGUGAAGAAGGUUUUCGGAUCGUAAAACUCUGUUGGUAGAGAAGAACGUUGGUGAGAGUGGAAAGCUCAUCAAGUGACGGUAACUACCCAGAAAGGGACGGCUAACUACGUG
rnacentral:rRNA from 1 species